rnacentral:rRNA from 1 species
GAUGAACGCUGGCGGCGUGCCUAAUACAUGCAAGUCGAGCGAACAGAUGAGGAGCUUGCUCCUCUGACGUUAGCGGCGGACGGGUGAGUAACACGUGGAUAACCUACCUAUAAGACUGGGAUAACUUCGGGAAACCGGAGCUACUACCGGAUAAUAUAUUGAACCGCAUGGUUCAAUAGUGAAAGACGGUUUUGCUGUCACUUAUAGAUGGAUCCGCGCCGCAUUAGCUAGUUGGUAAGGUAACGGCUUACCAAGGCAACGAUGCGUAGCCGACCUGAGAGGGUGAUCGGCCACACUGGAACUGAGACACGGUCCAGACUCCUACGGGAGGCAGCAGUAGGGAAUAUUCCGCAAUGGGCGAAAGCCUGACGGAGCAACGCCGCGUGAGUGAAGAAGGUCUUCGGAUCGUAAAGCUCUGUUAUUGGGGAAGAACAAAUGUGUAAGUAACUAUGCACGUCUUGACGGUACCUAAUCAGAAAGCCACGGCUAACUACGUG